CCUACGGGUGGCAGCAGUGGGGAAUAUUGGACAAUGGGGGGAACCCUGAUCCAGCCAUGCCGCGUGUGUGAAGAAGGCCCUCGGGUUGUAAAGCACUUUCAGUGAGGAAGAACGCCUGGUGGUUAAUACCCAUCAGGAAAGACAUCACUCACAGAAGAAGCACCGGCUAACUCCGUGCCAGCAGCCGCGGUAAUACGGAGGGUGCGAGCGUUAAUCGGAAUUACUGGGCGUAAAGCGCGCGUAGGUGGCUUGAUAAGCCGGUUGUGAAAGCCCCGGGCUCAACCUGGGAACGGCAUCCGGAACUGUCAAGCUAGAGUGCAGGAGAGGAAGGUAGAAUUCCUGGUGUAGCGGUGAAAUGCGUAGAGAUCGGGAGGAAUACCAGUGGCGAAGGCGGCCUUCUGGACUGACACUGACACUGAGGUGCGAAAGCGUGGGUAGCAAACAGGAUUAGAUACCCCAGUAGUC
rnacentral:rRNA from 1 species